rnacentral:lncRNA from 1 species
UAAUCAAAUUGCAAUUUAAAUUUAGACAAACAAAUACUUGAUUUGGCUAGUUAACAAAGACGAACAACUUAAUCAUAUUAAACGACAUAAUAAACAAAAACAAAGACGAAUAAAGAAGAAUAUGAGUAACUAAAAUAAACUUUGCCUAUAGAUGAACAACUUUAAAGUUUGUGUCUCUCAACCUCCUCUCAAAGUUGCUCCUUAGUCGUUGUGAGAUACUUUUUCACCAGACUUUCAACCAUUUUCUUGGUCGUAGUCACCACAGCUCCUAGUUUAUUCAAGGACGAGCAUAGCUGAAUUUACUAAUUGGUCAGCUUUUUCAAUCUCUCAUCCACCAACUUCACCAGAUUCUUUUCAUCUUGAUACCGAGGUUUCUGACCUGAAAAUUACUCAACCCUCGAUGGAUUGAAGGCAUUGAGUUGAUUAUCGAUAUAGAGCAAAAAACCUGCCGGAAUCUCAACCCAGCUGUCAUGGAAACUCUUUUGUUUGCAAUCAUUUUUCAAAACUUCCCCCAAAAUCGUUCUAAACAAAACAAAAAAAACAUAUUCAAUACUCCUGAUAAAAAAAUAAAAAAAGACACUUACGACAUCCAAAUGGCUCCCAAAUUAUGUUUUAUAGGGAACUUAGCAAAAUGCCCCAUAAGCACAAAAUAACCACCUAGAAGAAUCAUAGACAAUAUUUUGAAAUAAAAAUGUGUAGGAAUUCACUGUGAUUCCCAAUUUGAUUGUUACAUAUUGAAUUUCGGAUACCACCAAUGGAUAGGUACUGACGGUAUUGGUGAGAACCGCUCAAUACCUAUCAUAAUUCGCAAUGAUCCCGAGCAUUAUAAAAUGAUGAACAAAUACCACGACGGUUUAUCCAAACACAAUAUAAGGAUUAUCGUGCUUGGUAGAACCUAUGAUCCUGAUAAAUCGAACGUGGAAAGGAAGGAUUAUAACCCCAAAAAAAUGUACUGGAUGUAGGUAAAAUG